rnacentral:pre_miRNA from 1 species
AAUAAACCAAUUUAUGUGUUUUUUUUGAAUUUUUUACUCUUCGUCUUAUUUAAAAAUUUUUUAUGAUUAAUAUUUUUAUUGUUACUAUAUGAUAAAACAUGAAUAGUACUUUACGUAUGACUAAUUUUUUAAUAAAUUUUUUAAAUAAGAUGAUGGUCAAACGCUCGACCUAAAAAUCCAGAAAUCCUCUUUUC